AGGCUAUGCAGCCAGGCCCUUACAUGGAGAGAAACACAGACACCAGUCCAACCCAAAAGAAUGUUCUCUUUUCUGAGUCAGAGAUACUGACAAGAAUCUGUGAAUAGAACCAGGGACCAAAGGCAGUUGAAAAUAGAAGGAGAAGGAAUCUAAGAAUGAGAUGAUGAUCUGAGUUUGAAGGUGGGUGAACUUGUGUGAGAAUCUUUACCUCUCCACCUCAGCAAACUGGAAAUCACAGAAUUGGAAGAAUCAGAGACCUAUUUUGAAGAUCAAAUAAAAUACUGAAUCAUCUGGAUACCCAACCCUUUGGCUUAGGGGACAAGAGUUACCAUUACCGUAUUCAACUGGAGGAUAUACCGUAUCACCUGAAAAAUGGAAGAAGUGAUU